UACGUAGGGUGCAAGCGUUAAUCGGAAUUACUGGGCGUAAAGCGUGCGCAGGCGGUUGUGUAAGACAGGUGUGAAAUCCCCGGGCUUAACCUGGGAACUGCGCUUGUGACUGCACGGCUAGAGUAUGGCAGAGGGGGGUGGAAUUCCACGUGUAGCAGUGAAAUGCGUAGAGAUGUGGAGGAACACCGAUGGCGAAGGCAGCCCCCUGGGCCAAUACUGACGCUCAUGCACGAAAGCGUGGGGAGCAAACAGGAUUAGAUACCCUGGUAGUCCACGCCCUAAACGAUGUCGACUAGGUGUUCGGUGAGGAGACUCAUUGAGUACCGCAGCUAACGCGUGAAGUCGACCGCCUGGGGAGUACGGUCGCAAGAUUA
rnacentral:rRNA from 1 species